rnacentral:lncRNA from 1 species
AUGGCAUUAAACUUCCUGGAAAUCCCAAGACUGCUGUUGAACACGGAAACAGUGUUAGAAAAACUGUAUAAAGGGAUGCAGAUCCAAGGACAAUCCACACUCAGCCCAGAACUGAGAUCCCUGCAGCGUGGCCUGAGUGCAGGAUCAGGACUGGAGGAGUGACCCAAAGCCAGGAGACCAAGCACUGCUGAACGGAGGCAGGAUCUGUGCCUGGCUCAGAUUAGUACUGAGUUUGAGCCCAGCUGUGUUGGCAGCACCCAGCUGGUGUUCACACAAUGAGCAGGUGAAAAUGUGACAGAGAUGAGGUGUCAGAGCGGCAGAGCCCUGCACAUCUUUCCUUUGAUUUACAGGUGUCAGGGGCAGCAUCACCAAGACUAACUCAGCCAAUAUGUAAUGAAAAAUGUUCUAUAAUCAACAUUUGCUUGAGUGAAAAAGAGUAUUAUCCUCUAAGCAUGGAGAUAGUUUUAUAUUUUAAGAUCAUUUUAAAUUUUGGAAGAUAAGCAGGAUGCAGCAGUCCAUGAUGAGCGAUGAAGAUCUUUUUGCAAAGGAUUUAUUAAGUUGAAAUUUUAUGUAAAAAAAUUAAAUUUUUUUUCAUCUGUUUUUCAAAAAUGUUUCUGUAUAUCUAUGUGUCUAUGAAUAGAUUUUUAUUGGCAUUAGGCAGUUUUGUUAGCAUUAACCAUGAGUUGAUGUAGGAAGACAUAUGUUUCCCCCCCUAAUAAAACACAGGCACCUCUUUGUUAGACUGUAUUC